CCGCUUUGCUUGGGUACUCGAGUGGCGAACGGGUGAGUAACACGUGGGUGAUCUGCCCUGCACUCUGGGAUAAGCCUGGGAAACUGGGUCUAAUACCGGAUAUGACCAACUGUCGCAUGGUGGUUGGUGGAAAGCUUUUGCGGUGUGGGAUGGGCCCGCGGCCUAUCAGCUUGUUGGUGGGGUAAUGGCCUACCAAGGCGACGACGGGUAGCCGACCUGAGAGGGUGAUCGGCCACACUGGGACUGAGACACGGCCCAGACUCCUACGGGAGGCAGCAGUGGGGAAUAUUGCACAAUGGGCGCAAGCCUGAUGCAGCGACGCCGCGUGAGGGAUGACGGCCUUCGGGUUGUAAACCUCUUUCACCAGGGACGAAGCGUGAGUGACGGUACCUGGAGAAGAAGCACCGGCCAACUACGUGCCAGCAGCCGCGGUAAUACGUAGGGUGCGAGCGUUGUCCGGAAUUACUGGGCGUAAAGAGCUCGUAGGCGGUUUGUCGCGUCGUCUGUGAAAUUCUGCAACUCAAUUGCAGGCGUGCAGGCGAUACGGGCAGACUUGAGUACUACAGGGGAGACUGGAAUUCCUGGUGUAGCGGUGAAAUGCGCAGAUAUCAUGAGGAACACCGGUGGCGAAGGCGGGUCUCUGGGUAGUAACUGACGCUGAGGAGCGAAAGCGUGGUAGCGAACAGGAUUAGAUACCCUGGUAGUCCACCGCCGUAACGGUGGUACUAGUGUGGGUUCCUUUUUCACGGAUCCGUGCCGUAGCUAACGCAUUAGGUACCCCGCCUGGGGAGUACGGCCGCC
rnacentral:rRNA from 1 species